CAUAGGAAUAAUUUUUACAUUAAAAAAAGGCAGUGCAUUAAAUUUUGAAUCUACAGUCCUUAUCUUUGCAGGGCAUUUUAUCUUGAGGGUUGUUUAUACAAAAAAGUUUUAUAUGUAUAAAUGUUAUUUGCAGAAAUUCUAACAAAAACUUACUUAUUAUCAAAUGCAUCAGAACCAGAAUUAACAUAGUUCUGAUUAUUACAAAGGUAUAGAGAGUAACAUUCCUUGCUUAAAGUGAUAUAGAAGAAACUAUUUUUACAAUUUGUUAUUUCAGAAUCUAAAAGGUUAAAGUUAUUUCUAUUUUUGGUAUAUCAAAAUAAAAAUAAAAUUAUACUUUCAUUAAAUUUUUUUUGACAAAUUGCGUAUUAAAUACAAUGCACAAAGAGAAAGUUUUAGUUAUAGAUAAUGCUUUCAAUGGUUUAGAUUCUGAAGCAUCAAAUUAAGUAUUCAUUCCUGUUAUCUGUCCGUCAUGUUUGUAAUAUAGGGUUCAGAAGUAAUUUAUGAAAGUCAUUGUUAUAUAUUUUGUACAUACUAUAGCAUAAUGUAUUUUGUCCAUUUCUUUUUGUCAUUUUAAAUCAUGCGGUUUGACAGGGCUGAUAGUUAGAGCAAAGAUAACCAUGCAAAACCAAGGAAAUAUAUCUUGUAAGAAGGUUAUUUAUAGCAGUAAAUAUAAAAGCU
rnacentral:lncRNA from 1 species